rnacentral:rRNA from 1 species
CUGCUGCCUUCCGUAGGAGUUUGGGCCGUGUCUCAGUCCCAAUGUGGCCGUCCACCCUCUCAGGCCGGCUACUGAUCGUCGCCUUGGUGGGCCGUUACCCCGCCAACAAGCUAAUCAGACGCGGGUCCAUCUUACACCACCGGAGUUUUUCACACAAAUCCAUGCGGCUUCGUGCGCUUAUGCGGUAUUAGCACCUAUUUCUAAGUGUUAUCCCCCAGUGUAAGGCAGGUUACCCACGCGUUACUCACCCGUCCGCCACUAGGAUUUUA